UUAAAGGGAGACUGCUACUGGCGUAGGCAAUGCUUAAGCGGCGAACACGUUUCAAAUCGAUAAAGUAUCUUAGUCGGCACUCGAACUACGGCAAAGUAUCUGCGAUGAAUUUAAAGAAAACGAGAGAGCUAAAAGAGAGAAAAUACUUGACACCAAGGUGUCCACUCAAAUACUGUGUCUUCGAUUUUCUCACACUCCUCACUCUCCCUCUAUCUCUGUGAAUGUGAAAGAAACUAAAUGAGAAACACAAGAAGACCACUCAAAGUGUUUGGUUCUUGAGUGAUCUAAAAAGUGUCAAAUUAUUGAAAAUUUUUGUUUGUAGUAUUGUUUACAUUCAGAGCUGAUAAUAAUCGGAUCACAUCGAAGUGACAGUUUAGUGGUUGCUUAGCUUAGUGUGUGCCGGUCUGCGUUGAACAAUGUUCGCAUAGAGCACACGUGCUCUGUGUAGACUCUUAACAUUAAGAAAAUUCUGAACAAUAAGAUUGAUGAACUUUGAUUUAUUUUUGAGAAUUCGGGUUUGGAUGCUAUUUGUGUAUCGGAGACGUGGCUGAAAGAGACAACUCCUGACUAUUUCAUUAAUCUUGAAGGGUAUACGGUUUUCUGGGCUGAUAGACUACGCAGCAAUAUAACGACUCGCAUGUGUGCCAGAUCGGAUGAUAUCAUUGAAUAUGUGUUCAUCGAAAUAUCUGCUGUGGAAAGGAAGCUGUUACUUGGCCAAAACAACAACUAUAGGCCAAAUAACAAUAUUGACAUGGGACCAUUCAUGGAAAUAGUGGAACACCUCACUAUUACCUACUCGGAUGUAAAUACAGCAGGUGAUUUUAAUUCUAACAUCCUUUUGGACACAAGUCUCACCGUGGAGAUAUCUUCGUUGCGCUUAUUACCGACCAAUACAUCCAUGCCGACUCAUUUUUCGUCCAGUUCCAGCACCCUUCUAGAUUUGUUCUUUGCCAGUGAGAUUUCAAGUGUUCCUUGUAUGCCCAACUAUCCGCAUCGUGCUUCUCUAACCAUGAUUUAAUUUUUCUGUCCUACAGCUUUGACAUUCUUAGAAGGGAGGAGUCUUAUUCAUAUAGAGAUUACGGUAGUCGGGACCACGAAGCCCUGCUUUCUUUAAUUUCUGAUAUCGAUUGGAGUUAAUUGCACCAUAUGGAAUCGGUAGACGAUCAGGUGAACAUUUUGUCUGGAAAUGUGUGUGCUAUCCAGGAUCUUAUGCUCUCGGUCAGAAUGAGACGAAUUUGGCCAAGGACUAAAUCUUGGUUUUCGGCAGAUACUCGUGUUGCAAUUGAAAUCCGAAACACUGCAUACUGUAGAUGGAAGCGUUUUAGGACGUCGCACCUACGAGAGGAAUAUCGCUCCUACAGAGCAUGAGUCAAUAAAUUGAUAAAAUCUGCCAGUCAACUACUACCUCAAACGUUUCACCUCGGCGAUCGGUUCGAAGAAGAUUUGGAAGGUCAUUGGCAUCGGUUGCAGAUCCCCUGAUAACUUCACUCCAUCAGUUUCUGAACUUUUAAUUUUUUUUAUUUGUUUUUUUUUUUUUUAAUUCACUCACAUUUUGUACUAUUUGGGGGUUACUCCGUCAUCAAACGUACACAUUACUUUGGAUUUUUGCUUUAUUAGCAAUAAUUAAGUUGCAAAUAUGUAUUUUUUUGCUAGUGCAUUUUUCGCUUUUAACGCAAACAAAGCAACACAACAAUGCAGAUGAUGUACAGGUCUAUAUAAGUAGUCCUAAGGAAUAUCUAGAAGACCAUGUCACGAUGCGGAACCAUGACCUGUCUCGGUCAUAAGAAUAAAAUGAAUUUGGUAUAAAAUGUUUUAAUACUCAUCUGUAGGCCUCUAUUAAAUAUCAUCAAAAUGGGUUCAGAUUUACACAUAGCUUCAAUAAUCGGUUGAGUAUGGGAACCGAUUUUAUCCAAAAUUCAUAGCGUUUGUAACCACGUAACUGUGACUAACUCGAAAAGAUUUUCCAGGUUGUUCAACCAUCAAUUUUAGAACAUCGCGAGAGUGACAAGCCUAAGGGGAAAACCGUUCGUCGAAUCCGUGGUGUUCGAGCCGAUGGACAACCAUCACAGUUUACUGUGGACGAAAUUACGAAUAUCAUCCGUAGCGCCAAAUCAUCCAAGCCUUUAAGACCCGACGGAGUCUUUAUACUGAUUCUGAAUAAUCUGAAUCUACCUGGUCACUUGCCGGCAGCACUCAAAGAAACCAUGUCGCUCACUUACAAACCAAUUGGCCGGUCUGUGGUUAUGCAGUUAUGCAGCGCCAGUGUGGUCUCGUCAGCUAUGUGACACACAGUGAAAUAAUAUUCAGAUUUGUCUCCUUAGUUCUCCAUCAGGAGACAAAGAUCCUACCCGUGUGAAGACAUAACUACAUGCGGUCUAAGCAAUACCUUAUGGACAUCGCAGGGACUAUCCAAAUCAACAUCUUGUGGAUAGGUUUCCACCACUCAGAAGCCUUAAAGGGGGAUUUACAUGAUCCAGAGCGAGAGGUUCAGCGCUACAAGAGAGAAUCUCUAAAUCAAGCGGCAUAACAUACGGGCAUAGACAACAUUCAUGCAAAUACGGUAGCAGAUGUGGUAAAAAGCUACCGGGUGAAUUUGGUCUUUGGAGAACGACCACUACACACAGCACUUUAAUAUAUUUAUCUCCUCCGGCAGUUAACCAGUGGUUCUGGCUAAAUUGCGAUCCGGCAGAUGCAGGUGCCACAACUCCUACAGAACAAGGAUUGAUACCAACGUGCAGUAUUUAUUUAUUUAUUUGUAUUUCUAGUACAACCAGAUGAUAUCUUAUAAAAUAUAGUACUAGAUAAAGUUAAAUAUUGCAAUGGCAAAACAAACAAGUAAAAAAUCGUUAAGUUCGGCCGGACCAAACUUUGGAUACCAACCACCUCGGUUAUAUAUGUAAACCACCUUUCGUCAAAAUUUGGUAAAUAAUGCAUACCUUAUGUCCCAUAGCAGCUAUAUCGAAAUAUGUUCCGAUUUUGAUCAAAUACUAAAAAAUACAAGUCAUUGUUCAAUUAUGUAUAACAAAAUAUUGGUCCAUUUAGUAGCUAAAUCUAAAAAUAAACCGAUCUGAACCAUAUACGACACGGAUGUCGAAAAGCCUAACAUAA